rnacentral:lncRNA from 1 species
GCCAGCUUGAUGGCGCCGACAGAGAUGGUCGUCUUGCUUCGCGUUCUUAGGAAACUAUGCAGAAUUUAGCUUUUUUAUGUAUUAUUUCUUACACUGUUACCCCAGGAAAUCUUAAGUCUUAUUACAUACAGCUGGGAAGAACUAUUGGAUAUAAGAGCAACGUAAACGUACAAACAUUACGACCAGGAAUACGACUUUCCCGAAGUGGAUCCUCUGUUCAGACCACCACCCAGGACAAUGGAAUGGAUCCCAGUAGGCGACCCAAAACAACGGCGCCGCAGAAGGGGCAAGACACACGGAGCGGUCUUCUGGUCAGGCUUCGUUGACGGCCACAUUGCUCACCGCUCCCGAGUAUACUACUCGCCAAUGUCCAUUCUCUUGACAACAAGGUAGACGAAAUUCGAGCAAGGGUUGCCUUCCAGAGAGACAGAGAUUGUAACAUUCUCUGUUUAACGGAAACAUGGCUCACUCGGGAUACCUUAUCAGAGUCGGUACAGCAACCCGGUUUCUUCACGCAUCGCACUGACAGAAACAAACAUCUCUCUGGUCAGAGACGUGUCUGCAUCAAAACCUUCCAAUUGGAGAUCUGGUUAAGAACUACUUCAAACAGCUGGGCAACUUUCUUUCACGUGAGUAUUUCAGCUCCUGCUCAUGGGAGGUCAUGAGAGCUGAAAUCGGGAGCAUCCUGAAGGAUUUUUACAAGAAAUCAAAAAUGCCAAAAAUGUGAGAGUAGUAUUACUUUUAGUUAAUUUCUG